AUUGGACGCUGGCGGAAUGCUUUACACAUGCAAGUCGAACGGCAGCACGGGGCAACCUGGUGGCGAGUGGCGAACGGGUGAGUAAUACAUCGGAACGUGCCCAAUCGUGGGGGAUAACGUAGCGAAAGUUACGCUAAUACCGCAUACGAUCUACGGAUGAAAGCGGGGGAUCGCAAGACCUCGCGCGAAUGGAGCGGCCGAUGUCAGAUUAGGUAGUUGGUGGGGUAAAGGCUCACCAAGCCAACGAUCUGUAGCUGGUCUGAGAGGACGACCAGCCACACUGGGACUGAGACACGGCCCAGACUCCUACGGGAGGCAGCAGUGGGGAAUUUUGGACAAUGGGCGCAAGCCUGAUCCAGCCAUUCCGCGUGCAGGAUGAAGGCCUUCGGGUUGUAAACUGCUUUUGUACGGAACGAAACGGUUCUCUCUAAUACAGGGGGCUAAUGACGGUACCGUAAGAAUAAGCACCGGCUAACUACGUGCCAGCAGCCGCCGUAAAAC
rnacentral:rRNA from 1 species